UACGUAGGGUGCGAGCGUUGUCCGGAAUUAUUGGGCGUAAAGAGCUCGUAGGCGGUGUGUCACGUCGGCCGUGAAAACCUGCAGCUUAACUGUGGGCGUGCGGUCGAUACGGGCAGGCUGGAGUUCGGUAGGGGAGACUGGAAUUCCUGGUGUAGCGGUGAAAUGCGCAGAUAUCAGGAGGAACACCGAUGGCGAAGGCAGCUCGCUGGGACGGUACUGACGCUGAGGCGCGAAAGCGUGGGGAGCGAACGG
rnacentral:rRNA from 1 species